rnacentral:rRNA from 1 species
CCUGAUCCGCAUGCCGCGUGGGUGAGAAGUUUUCGGAUUGUAAACCCCUUUUGUCGGGGACGAUGAUGACGGUACCCGCAUAAUAAGCUCCGGCUAACUUCGUGCCAACAGCCGCGGUAAUACUAAGGGGGCUAGCGUUGCUCGGAAUGACUGGGCGUAAAGGGCGCGUAAGCGGACUGCACAAUCAGGCGUGAAAUUCCUGGGCUUAACCUGGGGACUGCGUCUGAAAUUGUGAUCUAGAGUGAUAAAAAGGGUCGUGGAAUUUCCAGUGUAAAGGUGAAAUUCAAUUAUAUUGGAAAGAACGCCGGUGGCAAAUGCGGCGACCUGGUCCUUUACUGACGCUGACCCCUGAAAGCUUGGGGAGCAAACAUGAUUAGAUACCCUGGUAGUCCACGCUGUAAACUAUGUGUGCUUGAUGUUGGGGUGCUUUGUCUUCAGUGUCUGAGCUAACACGGUAAGCACACCGCCUGGGAAGUACGGCCUCAAGGUUGAAACUCGUUGGAUUGACGGUUAAAAGUCUUAUGAGUUGACGGAGCUCCAUUUGAAGCACCCACAGACAAUUUGGAAAACCGGA